AAAGAGCGCUAUCUAUUUUAAAAUAAUAGAUACCGCUUUUCUUAACUAGCACUCUCUAUUCGCACACAAUAGAACGCGCUUCAUGCUGCUUGAAGCUUAACUCUCAUUUCCUCUUCGUUUUUCUUAUUUUCGUUCUUAUUUUCUCUAGCAUGAACCAAUCCCCUUCGUUCUCAUUUCCCCGUUUCUCAUUUCUCUUUUGUUCUCAUUUUCGCUUCUUCUUUUCGUGAUUCCAUUUGCGUAUCACUCCCACUUGUUUUCACUCCCUCACCCCAUGCCACCAUUAGUGGUUAAAAAACCCUGGGGUUUUAGGAAGAAGAGCGUCGAGUGUGUGGAGGAAAAUAAUGAGUUUGGUUGCAGGUUCGCACGAGAAAUUCAUCUGGGUUUCACCCUAAAGCCCCCAUCUCAAUCCCUAACCCCUCUUUUCUCCUACCCUUCCCACCUCUCCUCUAUCAAAAUUGUCGCCGUCUAAGGCUCCGUCAUGGCUUCCGGCGACAACGACGACACCAUCCACCUCUACAACCUCUCCGCCACAUCCUCCCUCGGUUCCCUACACCAACACUCUGCCUCUGUCAUCGCCCUCUCCUUCUACGCCCCUCCCAAUCUGCCCUUCCCCCGCAACCUCAUCUCCUGCUCAAGUAAUAAUACUCUUUCACAAUCCAUCUGAUUUCGUUUUUCUAUUGCUCUUGAUGCGUUUUGAUGCGUGCUGGUUCCGUUUUGAUGCGUGCAGGUUCGAGCGAGACUUGAAGUUUCUGUCCUCAAUUUUCUCAAAAUAUUAAAUGCAUCCAACCUUGUCAUCUCAGAUUUGCCUUUGUGUGGAAGGUGAUGGAGAUGUGCUAUCAAAUAUUGCUUCAGGAAAAGCGGGUCACGCAGAGGGAGCUCUUCUACAAGUUGCUCUAUGAUUCGCCACAGUUGUUUCCCUCUCAAACGCAUGUUAACAGGACAAUCCAAGGU